rnacentral:lncRNA from 1 species
UAUAAUCAUUCAUGCCUACAUAACACAGCUUUCAUAAGAACCCAAUAGGACAGGGUUCAAGGACCCUCUAAAGAAUGCCACACCUAUAGAGGCAUGGAAACUCUUUGCCACUUUCAUCUGACUAUUGAUCUAUAUCCUUUGUAAUGCCUCUUAUAAGAAAUGGGCAGAUUCUAGCAGUGUUUGUGAGAAAAACUGAUGGAUCCUGCAGAUUAACUAUGGACAGCCAAAUAUUGAGUAAAGUGAUGUCUACAACAGCAUCAGCUAUGCCUGAUAUGGUGUUAAUUCACAUUGUGAAGUUCCAAAAUCAGAAGAUGAUACAGAAAGAUUGCUCUGGUUGCCUGGUUUCUGAAGAAAUCGUGUACCCUGUCUGGAUAGUGUCUUACUUCCUAUCCACAAAGUUGUGAAAUAAUCUGGAAUUAAAUGGCAACCUAAACAACCCUAGAGUUGCCUGAACACAGAGCCAUUGCUGUGUUGAUCAUUAUAGCAGUCCUCAAUAGGAAAAAGAUGCCUCCCUGGUCGACCUUCCUGGAAAGUAUGCAUAUCAUUACUGCUUAGAUUUUGUUGGAGAGAAAUCACACUACCAUCAAAGACAACGGGUCAAAAAGAAUGCCGUCCUAAGCUGAGAAGCCAUCUUCCUAACGACAGCCAUGUAAUAUGAAAGGGAAAAACACACUGUUAUUGAAGAACUUAUCAGCUAUGUCACAUCUUCCACACAAAUACUCAG